UUGGUAGAUAAGUAUUUAAUAGUCAGUGCAACUCCAGACAGUUAAGGUCAUCUAUAUCAAAAUGGAGAUUACUUCUAGUAUCUUGUUGAAGUUGCAUGUGUCGACAUUCAAAACAAAUGACAGAUAAUAUCCAAAGAUUUUACCAAGAGGCUUUUGAUAUAAGUAAGAAAGGGAUGAAACUGUUACACUUAAUCUGCCUGGGGCUGGCUUUUAACAUUUCUAUAUUUUACUGUGAGAUCCUUAAUAACCCAGAGCUUUCCUGCACCUUGGUUAAUAUAACUUUUGAUAAGCCCAUCACAGAAUUUCACACACUGAAUAAAGAUUUAUAUAAAGACAGCAUCCUUAUCAUGAAGUUGCUUAGAGACAACCUAAUCUUAUGGACAUCAGACAGUGCAGGGAGGAACAUGAUGUGGCGUAAGGGCAGAAAACUAAAUGCAUACAGGUGUCAUCCUUUUCCUCCUAACACAACCCUUUUACACUCUCCAUUUCUUAUGCAACUUGGAUUUCCUGUAACGACAACAAUAAAACCCAUUCCGUAUGGAAUCAAUUGUUUAUAGUCUUUUCACACUGUAGUUCUGGGAAAACUUCGCUGCUUGAUUUGUGUUUGUUUUGGUUUGCCUGGUGUGCAGAGAGGCAUUCAAAUCUUCAUUUCAUAUAAAUAGAAGUAAUUUCCAAAUACUUAUGUAUAAGUCUAAAAUGUAUGUAGUAUUUAAACAAUCUGAAUCCAUUCUGCAAGUAGCAGUUUAUUGUAUUACUAUGAAGAUAUGAAAACAUACUUAAUUACAAUUGAGUGUUCUUACAUAACUUUUUAAUUUCUACAUUCCCUCCCUAUUCUUUUUCGGGAGUUUUCUUUCAAUAAACAACAUUUUCAUGUUUUUAAUGUAUUUCUUUUUUAACAGGUAAACAGGUGAAUUAGGUUGAAUGAAAAAGUAUUUAAUAUUUCUAAAUUAAGGGUCACAUAUUAAAAAUGCCUACUAUAUAGCAUAUUAUGAAGGUCAUCUAUAUUUGUGACAACAGGAAGUUUCCUUAUUCACUCUUCAUUUGCAG
rnacentral:lncRNA from 1 species